GCAGCAUGAGCUUCGCCACUCACUCCACCUUCUCCACCAACUACGGGUCCGUGGGCUCCGUCCGGGUGCCCAGCUACGGCGCCUGGCCGGUCAGCAGCGCGGCCAUCGUCUGUGCAGGCACCGGAGGCACUGGUUCCCGCAUCUCCGUGAUGCGCUCUGCCAGCUUCCGGAGCAGCAUGGGGGUCGGGGACCUGGCUGCGGGGAUGGCCGGGGGUCUGGCAGGAAUGGGAGGCAUCCAGAACGAGAAGGAGACCAUGUAAAGCCUGAACGACUGCCUGGCGUCCUACCUGGACAGAGUGAGGAGCCUGGAGACCGAGAACCAGAAGCUGGAAAGCAAAAUCCGGGAGCCCCUGGAGAAGAAGGGACCCCAGGUCAGACACUGGGGACAUUACUUCAAGACCAUCGGGGACCUGAGGGCUCAGAUCUUUGCAAAUACUGUGGACAAUGCCCGCAUCGUUCUGCAGAUUGACAGUGCCCGUCUUGCUGCUGAUGACUUUAGGGUCAAGUAUGAGACAGAGCUGGCCAUGCGCCAGUCUGUGGAGAGCGACAUCCAUGGGCUCCACAAGGUCAUCGAUGACACCAAUGUCACUCGGCUGCAGCUGGAGACAGAGAUCGAGGCUCUCAAGGAGGAGCUGCUCUUCAUGAAGAAGAACCAUGAAGAGGAAGUAAACGGCCUCCAAGCCCAGAUUGCCGGCUCCUGGUUGACCAUGGAGGUAGAUGCUCCCAAAUCUCAGGACCUCGCCAAGAAGGUCUGAGAGGAGCUGGAAAAGUACUGGACUCUUCUUCGCCAAGAAGAACCGAGAGGAGCUGGACAAGUACUGGACUCAACUGCUUGAGGAGAGCACCAUAGUGGUCACCACAGAGUCCACUGAGGUUGAAGCUGCUGAGAUGACGCUCGCAGAGCUGAGACGUACAGUCCAGUCCUUGGACGACCUGAACUUCAUGAGAAAUACAAAGAUCAGCUUGGAGAACAGCCUGAGGGAGAUGGAGGCCUGCUAUGCCCUGCAGAUGGAGCAGCUCAAUGGGAUCCUUCUGCCCCUGGAGUCAGAGCUGGCACAGACCUGGGCAGAGGGACAGCGCCAGGCCCAGGAGUACGAGGCUCUGCUGAACAUCAAGGUCAAGCUGGAGGCUGAGAUCGCCACCUACUGCCGCCUGCUGGAAGAUGGCGGGGACUUCAGUCUUAGUGAUGCCCUGGACAGCAGCAACUCCAUGCAAACCAUCCAAAAGACCACCACCCGCCGGAUAGUGGAUGGCAAAGUGGUGUGUGAUACCAACAACAUCAAAGUUCUGAGACAUUAGGCCAGCAGAAGCAGGGGACCCUUUGGGGAGCAGGAGGCCAAUAAAAAGUUCAGAGGUCAAAAAAAA